rnacentral:rRNA from 1 species
CUGUAAGACUGGGAUAACUCCGGGAAACCGGGGCUAAUACCGGAUAACACCUACCCCCGCAUGGGGGAAGGUUGAAAGGUGGCUUCGGCUAUCACUUACAGAUGGACCCGCGGCGCAUUAGCUAGUUGGUGAGGUAAUGGCUCACCAAGGCGACGAUGCGUAGCCGACCUGAGAGGGUGAUCGGCCACACUGGGACUGAGACACGGCCCAGACUCCUACGGGAGGCAGCAG